rnacentral:rRNA from 1 species
AUUGAACGCUGGCGGCAGGCCUAACACAUGCAAGUCGAGCGGAGCGGCGGAUGGGUGAGUAAUGCCUAGGAAUCUGCCUGGUAGUGGGGGAUAACGUCCGGAAACGGGCGCUAAUACCGCAUCCUAUCAGAUGAGCCUUGGUGGGCUUAGCUAGUUGGUGGGGUAAAGGCCUACCAAGGCGAUGAUCCGUAACUGGUCUGAGCGGAUGAUCAGUCACACUGGAACUGAGACACGGCCCAGACUCCUACGGGAGGCAGCAGUGGGGAAUAUUGGACAAUGGGCGAAAGCCUGACGGAGCAACGCCGCGUGAGUGAAGAAGGUUUUCGGAUCGUAAAGCUCUGUUGGAAGAGAAGCGGUAUCUGACCAGAAAGCCACGGCUAACGACGUGCCAGCAGCCGCGGUAAUAC